rnacentral:rRNA from 1 species
GACGAACGCUGGCGGCGUGCUUAACACAUGCAAGUCGAGCGGUAAGGCCCUUUCGGGGGUACGACGAGCGGCGAACGGGUGAGUAACACGUGGGUGACCUGCCCUCAGCUCUGGGAUAAGCCUCGGGAAACCGGGUACUAAUACCGGAUAUGACUCCAUGACGCAUGUUGGUGGGGUGGAAAGCCUUGUGCGGCUGAGGAUGGGUCCGCGGCCUAUCAGCUUGUUGGUGGGGUGAGGCCUACCAAGGCGACGACGGGUAGCCGGCCUGAGAGGGCGACCGGCCACACUGGGACUGAGACACGGCCCAGACUCCUACGGGAGGCAGC